AGUGAACGCUGGCGGCAUGCCUAACACAUGCAAGUCGAACGGUAACAGGCCCGCAAGGGUGCUGACGAGUGGCGGACGGGUGAGGAAUACAUCGGAAUUUGCCCAGUCGUGGGGGAUAACGUAGGGAACUUACGCUAAUACCGCAUACGACCUAACGGUGAAAGCGGGGGAUCGCAAGACCUCGCGCGGAUGGAUAAGCCGAUGUCGGAUUAGCUAGUUGGCGGGGUAAAGCCCACCAAGGCGACGAUCCGUAGCUGGUCUGAGAGGAUGAUCAGCCACACUGGGACUGAGACACGGCCCAGACUCCUACGGGAGGCAGCAGUGGGGAAUAUUGGACAAU
rnacentral:rRNA from 1 species